rnacentral:piRNA from 1 species
UAAACUAUGUUCUUUCUGUGGAAGGAGUUC